GGCGUCCUAUCACCGCUGCAGAACCCGGAUUUGGAGCCUUUACCAACAAGUGUAAGUUUCCUGCCCUUUUUGUAGACUCUUUCAAAAAACCCCUGUGGGUAUCUAGGGCAAUUAUGCGUCACCUCAAAUCCUUCAAUUGCGAUUUGGCAACUCUUCUCUCAUCGCCAUUGAUUGCAGUGACAGCAUGCCUAUGAGCUCACCUGACCGUAGUGGGUGUGGCCUGCUAUGAUGCCACUGCACCUAUAAAUAAACACCUAAACUCCGCCUCCAACAGCAACACAACCAAUCAUCUGUCAACACUCCAAAUAUGGAAAGGUCCUAACCCUUUAAAGAGCAGCUUAAUGAAGCAGCAAAGCGGCUCACAAUCGGAGACUCCAGCUCAAACAGCUCCAGGCUUAACAGCCCAGGAGGGGUUUGGUUAAAUGAAGUGCCUUGCAUGGGAACUGAGUCAGUGGGGAGGGGUAU